rnacentral:rRNA from 1 species
AACGCGAAGAACCUUACCAAGGCUUGACAUGCAGGGAAAAGCCGUAGAGAUAUGGUGUCCGUAAGGGUCCUGCACAGGUGGUGCAUGGCUGUCGUCAGCUCGUGUCGUGAGAUGUUGGGUUAAGUCCCGCAACGAGCGCAACCCUUAUCCUAUGUUGCCAGCGGAUUAUGCCGGGGACUCAUGGGAGACUGCCGGGGUCAACUCGGAGGAAGGUGGGGAUGACGUCAAGUCAUCAUGCCCCUUAUGUCUUGGGCUGCAAACAUGCUACAAUGGCCGGUACAAAGGGCUGCAAGACCGCGAGGUGGAGCGAAUCCCUUAAAGUGCGUCUCGGUUCGGAUUGCAGGCUGAAACUCGCCUGCAUGAAGGUGGAGUUGCUAGUAAUCGUGGAUCAGCAUUGCCACGGUGAAUACGUUCCCGGGCCUUGUACACACCGCUAGUC